GGAGUGGUGGCCGAGAGGCUGAAGGCGGCGGUUUGCUAAACCGUUAUACGGUUAAUCCCGUAUCGGAGGUUCGAAUCCUCUCCACUCCGCCA
rnacentral:tRNA from 1 species